rnacentral:piRNA from 1 species
UGAUGGUAAAAUCNCCAAGUCUGAUGCCAA